rnacentral:rRNA from 1 species
GGUGAACGCUGGCGGCGUGCCUAAUACAUGCGAGUCGAGCGAACGGACGAGAAGCUUGCUUUUCUGAUGUUAGCGGCGGACGGGUGAGUAACACGUGGAUAACCUACCUAUAAGACUGGGAUAACUUCGGGAAACCGGAGCUAAUACCGGAUAAUAUUUUGAACCGCAUGGUUCAAAAGUGAAAGACGGUCUUGCUGUCACUUAUAGAUGGAUCCGCGCUGCAUUAGCUAGUUGGUAAGGUAACGGCUUACCAAGGCAACGAUGCAUAGCCGACCUGAGAGGGUGAUCGGCCACACUGGAACUGAGACACGGUCCAGACUCCUACGGGAGGCAGCAGUAGGGAAUCCUCCGCAAUGGGCGAAAGCCUGACGGAGCAACGCCGCGUGAGUGAUGAAGGUCUUCGGAUCGUAAAACUCUGUUAUUAGGGAAGAACAUAUGUGUAAGUAACUGUGCACAUCUUGACGGUACCUAAUCAGAAAGCCACGGCUAACUACGUG